rnacentral:tRNA from 1 species
GUUAGAGUGGCAGAGCCCGGCAAUUGCAAAAGGCCUAAGCCCUUUUAACAGAGGUUCAAGUCCUCUCUCUAACU